rnacentral:lncRNA from 1 species
AAGAUCACUACUUUAGCGAUCUAAACGAUCAUAUUUCUUUACAGAGGGAGUACUAAAUGAGUUUAUCUCGUAUUUACUUGAGCUAGGAACCAACACUAGACAAAACAAGAAUAUCAACUUUUAGCAAAAUUCUGAACUGAGAAAUGUUCAAUGAGAGCCAUUUCAGUAUCAGAAGUAGAAGUUUGACCCUAAUGCGAUAAUUAAGAACUGAAUAACAGAAUGUUGUUUGAUGAGAGCCAUUUCAGUAUCAGAACUACUCCUCCGUAAACAAAUAUAAGAGUGUUUAGAUCACUAAAGUAGUGAUCUAAACACUUAUAUUUCUUUACAGAGGGAGUACCAAUUUG